CAGUCGCCACGGGAAUACGAAGGGGGCUAGCGUUGCUCGGAAUGACUGGGCGUAAAGGGCGCGUAGGCGGCGGCCAAAGUCAGGCGUGAAAUUCCCGGGCUCAACCUGGGGGCUGCGUUUGAUACUUGGUUGCUUGAGUGGGGAAGAGGGUCGUGAAUUCCCAGUGUAGAGGUGAAAUUCGUAGAUAUUGGGAAGAACACCGGUGGCGAAGGCGGCGACCUGGUCCUUGACUGACGCUGAGGUGCGAAAGCGUGGGGAGCAAACAGGAUUAGAUACCCGCGUAGUCCCUGUCUCUUAUACA
rnacentral:rRNA from 1 species